rnacentral:rRNA from 1 species
UCAGGCCUAACACAUGCAAGUCGUACGAGAGUUUUUAACUCUAGUGGCGGACGGGUGAGUAACACGUGAGAAUCUACCCUAAGGAGGGGAAUAACAGCUGGAAACGGUUGCUAAUACCCCAUAUGCCGAAAGGUGAAAGGAUUUAUCUACCUUAGGAAGAGCUCGCGUCUGAUUAGCUAGUUGGUGAGGUAAAGGCUCACCAAGGCCAUGAUCAGUAGCUGGUUUGAGAGGACGAUCAGCCACACUGGGACUGAGACACGGCCCAGACUCCUUCGGGAGGCAGCAGUGGGGAAUUUUCCGCAAUGGGCGAAAGCCUGACGGAGCAAUACCGCGUGAGGGAAGAGAAGCCUGUGGGUUGUAAACCUCUUUCUCAAGGAAGAAGUU